CUCCUCCACAUCAUCGGUCAGAACCCUCUCUUCCGUUGAAACCAUCACCCGUCGUUGCCUCCACUCGCACAGCACCGCCGGACAUCAUCGUGCUUGACAGUGAAGGAUGCAAGCUGUGAAAGUUUUCUUUUUGCGAGCCACAUGUCCAAGUCGUGUUAGUUCGAGUCGUAUUCCUUCACCGAGCCUCGUGAGUCAUCUCUGUGGAUCCGAGCCGUUUCGUGUAAGCCAUACGCGAGCCACGCGCAACUGAGCCAUUCCUGUGUGAGUCGUAUGCCAGCCGUGAGUCUCAAGACUCGAGCUGAAGCGUUGUUAGUCGAG
rnacentral:lncRNA from 1 species